rnacentral:rRNA from 1 species
AAACCAAACGAGCCUAGUGAUAGCUGGUUACUCAAGAAAAGGAUUUAAGUCCAACCUAAAGUCCUCCAUUUAUACCAAAAAUACCCUGACUUUAGAGCAAGUCAAAUAAGGUACAGCCUAUUUGAAACAGGAUACAACCUCACCUGAUGGCUAAAAAUUUAUCUUCAACUUUAAGUUGGCCUAAAAGCAGCCAUCUUUUAAAAAGCGUCACAGCUUAGUCUUUAACUAUCUUCAAUUCCAUAACCACAUUUUAACCCUCUUUCAAUACUGAGUAAUUCUAUACUAUUAUAGAAGAUUUUAUGUUGAAACUAGUAACAAGAAGUCAGACCUUCUCUUAAAUGCAAGCAUAAAUCAGAAAGGACUAACCACUGAUAAUUAACGUCAAUGACUACUAAUCAGCAACCUCCAAAGAAAAAUCUUAUUACCAUAAACGUUAACCUGACACAAGAGCAUUUCAAGAAAGAUUUAAAGAAAGAGAAGGAACUCGGCAAACAUUAACCCCGCCUGUUUACCAAAAACAUCGCCUCUUGAACAAAAAUAAGAGGUCCAGCCUGCCCAGUGACUAAUGUUCAACGGCCGCGGUAUCCUAACCGUGCGAAGGUAGCGUAAUCACUUGUUCUUUAAAUGAGGACUAGUAUGAACGGCACCACGAGGGUUAUACUGUCUCCUCUUUCUAAUCAGUGAAACUAAUCUCCCCGUGAAGAAGCGGGGAUAAAACUAUAAGACGAGAAGACCCUAUGGAGCUUUAAAUUUACCCUUAAACGCCAAAAAUCACUUAACAAGUUAAAAACUUCACCAUACGAACUCUCGCGUCAUAAGGGCAACUUUUAGGUUGGGGUGACCAUGGAGUAUAAAAUAACCUCCAUGUUGAACAGGCCUCCAAGCCUCGAACCAAGGGCCACGACCCGCCACACUAAAAUAUUAACAUCCAUUGAUCCAAUGUAUUUUGAUCAACGAACCAAGUUACCCUAGGGAUAACAGCGCAAUCUACUUCAAGAGUUCCUAUCGACAAGUGGGUUUACGACCUCGAUGUUGGAUCAGGGUGUCCCAGUGGUGCAGCCGCUACUAAUGGUUCGUUUGUUCAACGAUUAAAACCCU